rnacentral:rRNA from 1 species
AUGAACGCUAGCUACAGGCUUAACACAUGCAAGUCGAGGGGCAUCAGGAAGAAAGCUUGCUUUCUUUGCUGGCGACCGGCGCACGGGUGAGUAACACGUAUCCAACCUGCCCUUUACUCGGGGAUAGCCUUUCGAAAGAAAGAUUAAUACCCGAUGGCAUAAUGAUUCCGCAUGGUUUCAUUAUUAAAGGAUUCCGGUAAAGGAUGGGGAUGCGUUCCAUUAGGUUGUUGGUGAGGUAACGGCUCACCAAGCCUUCGAUGGAUAGGGGUUCUGAGAGGAAGGUCCCCCACAUUGGAACUGAGACACGGUCCAAACUCCUACGGGAGGCAGCAGUGAGGAAUAUUGGUCAAUGGGCGCUAGCCUGAACCAGCCAAGUAGCGUGAAGGAUGAAGGCUCUAUGGGUCGUAAACUUCUUUUAUAUAAGAAUAAAGUGCAGUAUGUAUACUGUUUUGUAUGUAUUAUAUGAAUAAGGAUCGGCUAACUCCGUGCCAGCAGCCGCGGUAAUACGGAGGAUCCGAGCGUUAUCCGGAUUUAUUGGGUUUAAAGGGAGCGUAGGUGGACUGGUAAGUCAGUUGUGAAAGUUUGCGGCUCAACCGUAAAAUUGCAGUUGAUACUGUCAGUCUUGAGUACAGUAGAGGUGGGCGGAAUUCGUGGUGUAGCGGUGAAAUGCUUAGAUAUCACGAAGAACUCCGAUUGCGAAGGCAGCUCACUGGACUGCAACUGACACUGAUGCUCGAAAGUGUGGGUAUCAAACAGGAUUAGAUACCCUGGUAGUCCACACAGUAAACGAUGAAUACUCGCUGUUUGCGAUAUACAGUAAGCGGCCAAGCGAAAGCAUUAAGUAUUCCACCUGGGGAGUACGCCGGCAACGGUGAAACUCAAAGGAAUUGACGGGGGCCCGCACAAGCGGAGGAACAUGUGGUUUAAUUCGAUGAUACGCGAGGAACCUUACCCGGGCUUAAAUUGCAGUGGAAUGAUGUGGAAACAUGUCAGUGAGCAAUCACCGCUGUGAAGGUGCUGCAUGGUUGUCGUCAGCUCGUGCCGUGAGGUGUCGGCUUAAGUGCCAUAACGAGCGCAACCCUUAUCUUUAGUUACUAACAGGUCAUGCUGAGGACUCUGGAGAGACUGCCGUCGUAAGAUGUGAGGAAGGUGGGGAUGACGUCAAAUCAGCACGGCCCUUACGUCCGGGGCUACACACGUGUUACAAUGGGGGGUACAGAAGGCAGCUACCUGGUGACAGGAUGCUAAUCCCAAAAGCCUCUCUCAGUUCGGAUCGAAGUCUGCAACCCGACUUCGUGAAGCUGGAUUCGCUAGUAAUCGCGCAUCAGCCACGGCGCGGUGAAUACGUUCCCGGGCCUUGUACACACCGCCCGUCAAGCCAUGGGAGCCGGGGGUACCUGAAGUACGUAACCGCAAGGAUCGUCCUAGGGUAAAACUGGUGACUGGGGCU